AUGAUAACUCAAGCUCGUCGUCUUUAUGCUAUUUACAGAAAUAACAAAGCAGAUUUUGGGACAAAGUUCACCUCCUUUGAAGCAAUAAAACCUCAAUUUCGGAAAAUGAACAUGGGAGUGGGUAAAAAGCAUGGUUUGGAUACCAUGUGCAGUAAGAAGGGCUCUCAUCAUUUCUACCAAAACACCCUGUCAAGCCUCUGCUCUGCCUAUACUCAUAGAAACCAAUAUCAUGACAACGGAUGUGCAAGUGAAGGACUUCUAUAUGAAUUUUAUACAGAGGCACAAGAUCUUUUUAUAGGGGAAGCAUAUGGAGCAGAGUUUAGACUUAAAAGCCCACUGAUUCUACUUGGAAGCAAAAAUGGACAGCGAAGGUUCUUAGUUAAAAACACAAUUCUCAAAACAAGACAACUACCAGAAUUUAUUCAUUCUGGAGGAUUAAAAACAUCAUAUGCACAGAAGAAAUUAUGCCAGUGA
rnacentral:lncRNA from 1 species